rnacentral:sRNA from 1 species
CUCUAGCCCCGAUUGAAGUGAAAAUUCUUUUUAUUUUUCCUUUAAAAAUAAAAAGAUUACUUCACUAAACUUUUAUUUUUAUAGGAGUUCAGUGAAUACAUUUGAAACGAAAAGCGGGAUUAGCU